AUAAGGACGAGGGGAGGGUGUGCUAAUGUUUACAACCACUGGACUGUCAAUAAUUUUAUCGUAAAAACUGUGAUUUUGUCGAUACUUCAGCAGCAUAUGAAAAGACAAGUAUACAGGGACGCAAACUAAAUGACCUCUUCUCGCAUUCAGGCUUUUGUUAACCGUGAGACAUCUGGUUGCUCUCGACUCACUGUGUUACACAGUGAAUCUGAGUGGGCAUUUGGAAAGAACCUUUCAGUGUGUACAUUGUGCUGGUAAACAGUGUCCUGAUGGAGUGGGUGUUCAUCAUGAACCGGAUGAGCUCUCAGGGUAGCUCUGCAGCGCAGCGGAGGCGGAUGGCUCUGGGAGUGGUCAUACUCUUGCUGGUGGAUGUCAUCUGGGUAGCCUCCUCUGAGCUCACCUCAUACAUUUUCAAGCGACAGGAGUACAACAAACCCUUCUUCAGCACAUUCACCAAGACCUCCAUGUUUGUACUCUAUUUGCUGGGGUUCCUGCUGUGGCGGCCCUGGAGGCAGCAGUGCACUGGCACACUGAAACGGCGGCAUUCGGCGUUUUUUGCUGAUGCUGAGGCCUACUUUGCACCCUGCACCACUGACACCACUGUCAACAACUGUUUGAGUGAACCACUCUAUGUUCCGGUGAAGUUCCAGGAUGUACCUGCUGAGCACUCAAAUUGUUUAAUUGGAGACUGUGAAACUUCAGCUUCUAAAAAGCAGCGGGUGCGUUUCAGUAACAUCAUGGAGGUGCGUCAGCUGCCCUCUACUCAAGCCCUGGAUGCCAAAUUGUCCCGCAUGUCCUACCCAGCUGCCAAGGACCAUGAGGCCAUGUUGCGCACAGUGGGCAAGUUAACCAUCACUGAUGUGGCCAAAAUCAGCUUCUUCUUCUGCUUUGUGUGGUUUCUGGCUAACCUGUCCUAUCAGGAAGCCCUGUCCGACACACAGGUCGCCAUUGUCAACAUCCUGUCAUCCACCUCAGGCCUGUUCACGCUCAUCUUAGCAGCCAUAUUUCCCAGCAACAGCAGUGACCGUUUCACCUUGUCUAAACUGUUAGCUGUAGCUCUGAGCAUGGGAGGUGUUACCCUUGUGAGUUUCUCCAGCAUGGACAACCCUGAUGAGAAAGGCGUCAUAGGUUCCUUGUGGUCACUGGUGGGGGCGGCGCUGUACGCAGUCUACAUCGUCAUGAUCAAGAGACGAGUGGAUCGGGAAGAUAAGCUUGACAUCCCCAUGUUCUUUGGGUUUGUGGGUCUGUUCAACCUGCUGCUGCUGUGGCCAGGCUUUCUUCUGCUCCACUACACGGGUUUUGAGGCCUUUGAGCUUCCCAGCCAGCUGGUGUGGACAUAUAUCCUCAUUAAUGGCCUCAUUGGAACCGUUCUCUCAGAGUUUCUCUGGCUCUGGGGCUGCUUUCUCACAUCAUCUCUAAUCGGGACUCUGGCAUUGAGCCUCACCAUCCCGCUCUCUAUAAUGGCAGAUAUUUGCAUGCAGAAGGUACGUUUCUCGUGGCUGUUUUUUGCUGGGGCGGUCCCCGUCUUCCUCUCCUUUUUCAUUGCCACACUCUUGUGCCACUACAACAACUGGGACCCUGUCCUGGUGGGGCUGAGGAGAGUGUAUGUCUUCAUCUGCAGGAAACAUCGCAUUCAGAGGUACACACUGCUUGAUUCUACAAAGGAAUUACAGACUGCCAGAAGACAGUGAGCAGUGUGAAAGCCUUAUUCCUCUACACACCGUCUCCCCCAGCGAAGGAAGCUUCUGCUCAUGAUCCAGCAGUCAAACACAAAGUGGUGAGAGUGGAUCUCACUGAGCUGACAAUCUGGAAGCUUUCAGAGACAUUGAACUACCCCAGUGCCUCCUAUUAAAUCUAUUUAUUUUCAAGAGUGCUGAGACCACACAUCCAUUUCUACAAGCUCACUUCUAUUUUCGCAUUCCAGUCAUCCCAGACUGAGAUCCUGUUUUUAUUUUUUGCCUAUGUUUUCUGUGUAGUAAAAAAAAAAACCUUACGGUUCUCAAGGUGCUGGACAUUAUCAGUGAAUACUAUAGUGUCGUGACCAAAUGAAACGGUACAUAUUGAACUGGAUCAUAACACUAACAGAGGCAGAGUAGCUCUGUGUGUUUCUCCUAUUGACAGUCUCCAUUUCACAGUCACAAAUUUUUUUUCAGGCUGAACAUUCUUCUGUACUGGACAUUCUUAUUUUUGUCUAUACGCCUUUUAAAACUGUGCUGCUAUUUUGUACGUUUUUGUGUGAAGCAGACAGAGUGCAUUUUCAUAAAUGACGUAUGUAAAAAGUUUGUUUUUGGUUUGGCUGCAUUUGAUAGAGAAAUCCUGCUUUUCCAUAAAUCAGCCAUGUGACAUACUUCAUAUGAGUCAAUCAAUAUGACUGCAGUGUUUUCAGGAUGUGUGAUGUGGUAGAAUCUGAAACUAAGCACGGUGUUGAGUUGAUCUUACCAGCAUCUUCAGUUUGGGUAAUGACAGAACCAUUGAGAGUGACUUGUGCGUGCAUUGUGAGAUAUUUUUUCACUUACUUUAGACCUCCAGAUGAUACUGACUCUGUCCUGAUAGUAUUCAACAUUUUAAAGGGGCAGUUCAGCCCAAAAUUAAAAAUACAUCUUUUCCCCCCUCGCCUGUAGUGCUGUUUAUCAGUCUAGAUUGUUUUAGUGUGAGUUGCCGAGUGCUGGAGAAAUUUGCCGUAGAGAUGUCUGCCUUAUAUAAUGGCACUAGAUGACAUUUUGCUAGUAGUGCUCAAAGUGCCAAGAAAAUCAUUUGAAAAACUGAACAGCAUUGUGUCUUUCCAGAACUCAUGACUCAGGAUAAACCACAUACCUUGUUGUGAGCAGUUUAAUGUAGGAACUAUUUACUUUUUACUGAACUACACCUACCAACCUUAUCACCAUGCAGAAGCAGAAGGAAGUGUGCAUGCAUCUACUGCUGGCUCACCUAACACCACUGAGCUAGCUGAUGUUACAGCCCAGCCAAGAAGAUUGCAAUUAAUAUUUCCGUCUCACUCUCUCAGGAGCAUGAGCCUCUCGUCCCUGACUGGAUGCGUGUUCCCUUCUGCACGAUUAUACAUUCGGCAGGUGUAGUUUGGUAGAAAGUAAUUAGUGACUAAGUGAAAAUUCCUCACACAAGGUCUAGGUCUAAACUGAUACAGGUAAGGGGAAAAAUUUAGUGUGAACUGUCCCUUUAACUUCUCUCACUAAAUCUUUUAUUUUUAGUCCUUAUUUUCUUUUGUUAUGGAAACCUUUGUAGCCGGACAUGAAGUAAAAUGUAAUCACAUUACAGCUGAACAAGAAUCCUUCAGCAUCCUUCAACAGCUUUCUUGUUUCCCUCUGUACCUCUGACAGUGCUGGAUCAUGAAGACAAACUGUGAUAGAGACAUAAUAUUUGUGUUUUAAUAUGAACAUAUGUUAAGCCUUCUGCUAUAAGCUACAAACGCCUUGCUGCAAUAACGGUCGUCUGCUCGUACUGUAUGAGCAGUUUCCUUUUCCAAAUGAGUGUAAAUACUGUACACAGUGAAGCAUUAACAGAGAAUUGAUGUUUUGUUUAUGAAAUUCAGAUGACCACUACAGAUUCCUGUCUGAGAUUGUGUAUUAUUUUAUAUUUUAUGUAUCAUUGUAAAUCAUUACUGCCAGAGGAAGUGUGUGCAUCACAGCAAAAUUCUCUUUUAUUAGCAACUGAGAUUAUAUCACAUUGAUUAGACUGUUGUAUAUGAUCAUUUAUGAUUUAUUUACUGUGUUUGUGAUUUCAUGUGAUGAGAAAAAAGCAUUUCUUUCAGUGUGCCUCAGUGUGUGUCAUGUAAACACUACAGUUGAAGGUGAAAUGUCAAUAUUAUUCCACAUCCUGUUAAAUGUCAGCUGUGUGUACAUCUUUAUGGAGUGUUUAUAGCACUCAGCAUUGACUGGAUGUAUGAAGUGGAGGAAGUAAUAACCGGCCUGUGAGGGUAAAGUAACGGGUUGAGCACUUUAAGUGACAGAUAUAAACUUUUCUCGUUCAUGUUCAUUGUUGCACUUGCAGUGUUUUUGCCAAUCAGUCCCUCCUGCCACAGUUGCAACUAUUAAAGCUUUUCAGGAAGAUUAGUUUCCCAUGUUGUUUGCUUAGAUUUCAAAAGAAAAUUAUCAUUAUUAUUUUUUCUCAUCUUUUAUCAAUGGUGCUUGUGAAAUCAUGGAUAUGAUUUUUUUUCUUUCUCAGGUUCUUUGUCUUGUUUUUCAUAUCUGAGCAGUUUCUUUGUCUUUCAAGUGUCAUUAUUGAAAAUGUUAUAUCUUAAAGAAGGCUCUAAUAGUAACAUCCCUUUUAUCAACCUCAGCUCUUGAAUUAUCCUUUUAUUUUGUAAAUCUGUUUUCAUACUUACACUGCACUAUUAAAACAUCUUUUAAAAUG